AAUGAUCAGUAUAACUGCUGAUACACUGAAGAAAACACAAGAUUUAAAGCAACAAGAUUAUGAUCUUAUAUUCUUCAAUAUAACCAAACACACAAAAUGAUCAUCUUAUUCCUAAGCAUUACUUUUAACACAAUUCUGGUUUCAGGUUCCUCUCUCAGCGACAAAGUCUACCAGACUCCAGCUGACAUGUACAAGAC